CAAAUUUGCCUAUACUCUUGGCUCCUGUCACCAUGAAGAACAUGGUAAUAUGCGAUGCAUGGUGUUAAUUACAGAAUCGUGUGAAUCAUCAAGCAUGUGCAUGCAAUUUGUGCCCAAGGCUGUCAGGCUGGAAAACAGCCCUGUCUGGGCGCCA
rfam:Amborella trichopoda AMTR_V1.0_contig_31026, whole genome shotgun sequence.